rnacentral:misc_RNA from 1 species
GAAAUGCGAUAAGUAAUGUGAAUUGCAGAAUUCAGUGAAUCAUCGAAUCUUUGAACGCACCUUGCGCUCCCUGGUAUUCCGGGGAGCACGCCUGUUCGAGUGUCGCGAAAUUUCUCAAACUUGGAUGAUAAUUUUUGUCUGUCCUUAGUUUGGUUGUUGGGCUUUGCCGUGUCCUUCAUUGGGACGGCUGGCCUUAAAAGCAUUAGCUGAUCCUCGUGUGGAACUGGUUCUACUCAGCGUGAUAAUAGUCUGAUCGCUGAGGACAUCUUUCGGGAUGGCCGGUCCCCAGUUGGAUUGCUUCUAACCUUGGUUUUGCAGAUUGUUUGAUCUGUAUUCCAAUUUUCAGCUUUGACCUCGAAUCAGGUGGGACUACCCGCUGAACUUAA